rfam:Bacillus coagulans 36D1, complete genome.
ACGAUGUUCCGCUGCAAAUACGAUGGAAGAUUUGCAAGAGCAUUUG